UACGGAGGGGGCUAGCGUUGUUCGGAAUUACUGGGCGUAAAGCGCACGUAGGCGGCUUGGUAAGUUAGAGGUGAAAGCCUGGAGCUCAACUCCAGAAUUGCCUUUAAGACUGCCGAGCUAGCAGGUGAGAGAGGUGAGUGGAAUUCCGAGUGUAGAGGUGAAAUUCGUAGAUAUUCGGAAGAACACCAGUGGCGAAGGCGGCUCACUGGCUCAUACUGGACGCUGGGGUGCGAAAGCGUGGGGAGCAAACAGG
rnacentral:rRNA from 1 species